CGGACAAACAAAACACACCGAUAGACUUAAGAGAUGGUAUAAUGAUUAUAAUUUAAUGAAGAGUUUUUAAAACAGAACACACCGAUAUUUUAAUUUAUUUUAAGACAUCAUGAACUUUACGCACUAUAAAGAGAUCAAGCUUAUUAACAUUUCAAACAGAAAAAUCAUGGCUGAAAUUUACAAGUUUGUUUAUGCUAUCAUUCUAUUUCUUUCCUUUUUUCAUGUUGGAAUGACAGUUCGUGGUGCAGAACCUAUUAAUAAAUGUGAAAGUGAUGCUGAUUGUGAAGAAUUUACGGGGGUGUGGUAUGACAUGAAGUGCAUUGAUCACGAAUGUGAACCGUGUUAUGAAUGGUUUGAACGGUUAAAACUUUGAAUUGAUAAAAAUUUAUUGGAAAGUUUGAACCGAGUAAUAUGUGAGUCUGGAUCUAAGUUUGUCCUUAAGCCUUAUUGGAACAAUGACUUUGUCUCUAAGUGAUUUUAUUUUAUGAAUCUAUUUUAUUUAUGUAAUAGUUAUUUGAAUUCCUUCAAGAGGCCUUGGGCCCAUUACUAUUUGGAUCCAUUAGUAGCUAAAACCCUAGCUAUAUAAAUGUAUGUGCAGCCUCCUUAGAGAUUAUGAAUGAAGUAUUUUAUUUUCUCAGUUUUUA